AAAAAAACCUGCCUUUAAUACCUAUGAUUUCUUUGUCAAAUUUGGUAUUCAAAAGUCUCAUGACAACAAAGAGCAACAAAAUUCGAAAAAAAUAACAAGUAUCUGUAAUUUUGGAACGAAUUGAUGCGGUGUAUCGCACGUCGCUCUGACACAAAAAAUGGCAACCGUCGAAUCACCUUCAAUGCGAUUAAAAAGUAUCUACAUUUUUUGUGGCACCGCACACUCAGAACUGUGAAGCCAUUAGCGGAUCUACGUUGGUUCAAAAAAAACCUGCCCUGUGACAGUCUCACCGCUGUAGUCAAAUACAAUUGGACGCACGCGAGUUAGGAAACGAAGCAGAAGAGAGAAACUUCUCUUUCCGAUCGGUGCAACGCUAUAAAAAUCUCACAGGUUUUUAAAAUACAUUAGAUCACAAAAUAUAACCUUUAAACUUUUUCUCCUGUUAGUAUGAACGUAAGGUUGUGGUUUCUCAGCUCCGGUUUCUGUGUAGUUAUAAUCCUAUGUUUUGCUCCGCUGGCAGACUGUGUUACUCCCUUAUUAAUGGCUGGGGUGGAUAUUAUAAGUAAUCGAAAUUCGAACGCACCAAAAAAGAGUGGGGCCCAGGGUUUCCUUGCGGGGGUGGCCGCGCACGAGUUUUGGCGGAAGUACGUGAACGAUCCGCUGGACGCGCGCUACACGAAGAACUUCGGCGCGGAGCUUAAGGUGACAAUGGGUGACGUGGUCGUGACGUCAGUGUGGCCAACGAGCAAGACAGUGAUGCGCCCAUGGCACUGGUUCUUCACCCUCUGGCCGGCCAUGGAUGGGGACCCGGGCAAGCCAGACAUACCGGCCACGAUGAUCCGCUUCCUGCCGACGAGGAAAACCCUUUUCGCGAGCGUCAAUCCUCAGCUCUUCAACCCGGCCAGGAAGUACCAGACAAGGGUUCUCAUGAACCGCGAGAAGAAAGCAGGACACAUCGGACUCGUGGGUGUUUUGAUCGCUUAUAUGAUGGGGCAAAAGGAGAAGAUAUACUUCAAUCCCUUUUUCUGCAGCGCGAAACACUACGUGGAGUACCUUUCUCUGGGCCAGGUCACAGGGGGACGUUGGUGGCAACCCCUGUACAACCGACUUAGCAAGAGAUGCCCUGUUAGGAACCUAGUAACCGCCGAAAUGCUGGACGACAUCUACAAGAGUAAGACUUUCACGUUGAAAGGGAAAGUUGUAGACGCGAGGGUUACACUGCAGGUGGAAAAAAUGGCCAGAGGAGAUUCAAUUCUUGUACCAACAGCACAAGCAAGAGGUACAAGAAGCAGAAAGGCUAAAGAAGGGCGCAAAAGACGUGACAAUUAAAUGAGAUGCCACCAGAAUAGUUGUGAAUCGAAUAAGUUAAUUAUAUUAUUCAAGAAUUAUCUGCUCAUGAGGUCAAACACCGAAAAGCAAAGGGUGCUUACUUAACAUUCUAGAUGUAAAAAAUUGUGCGCCAACUCACAAAACGCUGAGUCAACCGCCACAGCAGUUAGCUUUACAUCUUGGCAUUGCUAAAGUAACUGCUGUGGCGGUUUUUGUGAGUUGUCGUACACUUUCUUACAUUGAGAAUGUUAAGUCAGCAUCCUUUUUCGGUGAGGUAAGUGACGCCUAGAUUCAGGAUAAUGUUUUAUAUAAUUUGAACUAAUGCAUUUGAGAUCAACCAUCGGAUCCGAAUGCCAUUUUAUUUAACUGUGUGAUUUUUCACCGACAUUUAGGAGCUGGUUAUUUUAAUGUCAUUAACAACUGAUUCAUGUAGAUGCAAGGUAUGCAUUUCAAAUGAUAAGAAAAUAUCAUGCCUUAUCGUUUAAAUCAUAUGGUGAAGUGAAAUUCUCUAAAAUUUAUUACAAGACAAUGUUUUCACCCUCAACACUAUCCGUAUAACGCCUUCCGAAAAUGCAUUGCGAAUGGCGUCAUUCACGACAUCUGAGAAUAUCAUUAUUUUCUCUCCCCCCCCCCCUCUGGAAAUGAUGGUUAAAAAUGGUCAAAGUUUGAGCGCAUUACACUAUGCACUAUUUUUUUCCCGAAUAACAUAGAAUGUGCCCAUGAUUUGCCCUUGGAUAGUGGUAGGUGACUCGAAUGUCCUAUAUCAUGUUUUUCAAAGAAAUCUCUGUUGAUAUUUUAUCUAGAACUUUAGCGUUUGUUUGCAUUAUAAUUUUUUUUAAAUCGCAUUCCUGAGACUAUCUUUAGAGUCUGACUUCGUGAUCAAGGGAAUAUACAUUCGUGCGAAAAAGAAAAGGGAGAGAUUACGCAGUAAAUUUUGCUGCUAAUAUGGACUCGAGACCCUGCAUUUUAGUAACAUUAUACUUUUCCGUAUAUCUACUAUAUUCGAGCAGCACAACAAAUUUCAGUACUUUGGGAAACGAACCAAUUUCACUGCGAAGAAGCCAUGCAUAUACCCUUUAAGCUUGAACUAAAAGAUUAUGUUCGUUCCUUUUACGUUAUAUUUGCGAUUAGUUUAAUGUUUAAUACACGAGUGCUUUCUGUAUACAUGAUGAUGCAUUUUGUAUUGGUCUUAAGAGCUAUAGAUACACCUGCGCGCUACACGCGCGUCUUGACCCGAAAAGUAGGAUCCGAUCCUACUUUGAGCGAAUUACGAGUAGCGAGCUGCGACCUGAUUGGCUACGAAGAUCGCCUAACACGGCCGAAGGCCUACUCGCCGCUCAAGACGCGCGUCUAGCUCGCAGGUGUAUCUGCCCCUUUACGUUCACUUUGUCGAAAAAUAUUGGCACCUACAUUCUUGUCACUAGAUUAAAAUUUGGCUAAAACCAGAGCUACAGACGAGUUUGAACUCCUUAAGUUGCUCAAAUUUCUUAGAAUUGAUGAAAUGAUAGAUUUAUUAAGUGCUCACGGAUCAUAUGUAAGCCUGCCUAGAGCUAAGCUUUUAAUAUAAGGUUAAAUGGUUUAUUUAAAUGUUCUUAAUUUUAUAUAUUUUAUGGUUUUUCAAUUUAUUUUAGAAUUACAAACUCA
rnacentral:lncRNA from 1 species